UAUUUUUGUUUUGUAGUGAGUAGAGUUAAAAUCAAAAUCACGAUUCUAAAAUCAAACUUAAAUUUCAAACGGGGCAUGAGUGUUUUUAACGCUGCUUUGUAAUCAUUGCUUCUGCCUUGUUAUGCAAAAUAUUCAAAAGUGUGUUGUUGAUUCUUCCUCUUAUGUGUAUAUUGUUGCGGUUAAUUUGAAAAUUGGCCGAUGUAUGCGCUGAAAGCUAUUCACUUUUACUGGUGAAAGCUGUUCUGUUUUGCUGCAAGUUGUUUGUGUAUUGUUACUCAUGUUCUUUGGCUGCUUAUGUGUGGAAGUUCUACUCGAACAAGUGCAUCCAAGAUGACUCCUAAAGGUGAGAAUAUCCUCUGGACUGAUCAGAUGGAGUUCGCUUUUAUUCAUAUCAUGCUUGAGAAGUUGAAAAGUACCCACACGACAUCGUGGAAGCAAAGGGAUUGGGAAGAGAUGAAUCUGGAGAUGGAAAGGCAAUUUCCCGAUGUCUAACUAGGCUUCCAAAAGCUCCAGCAGAAGAUAACGAGACUUAAAACCAUGUACAAGCAGUUCACUGAAGUGCUUCAUCAAACUGGAGUCGGUUGGGAUGAAGACACCAACACUAUCAUGGUGAGUCCCUAUGUGUGGGAUAAAUUUAUCAAGAAGAACAAGGACUUCAAGACAUUCCAAACCAACGGCUGCAAAAACUACAAACUGUUGAAUGAGUUUUUCAGUUCAUCAACUGCUAUCGGUGCUCUGCGCAUCUCCUCAACCAAUCCACUGAGGACUUUUGACGAGAAUCGACAAGUGCUGGAGGAAUUCUUAUCAACAUCCAAACAACAAUAGAAACAACUCGUCAACCUCGACGAAGGCUUCAACGAGAGUGAUGACCCAAUCCAUGUGGUUGAAGAGCCGAUUAUAUCUGAGUCCCGAUGUCGAGUGCGUAAAAGGCAUUCCUCGACAAGGUCACAACUGCAAAAGUGCAUGGACUUGCUCAAGGCCAGUUUCAAACCCAAUCCUAAGACCACCCCACCUGAGUCCAAGAUAAGCUUGGUUUCCAGCCCGGAAAAAGCCAGAGAAAAAUAGCAUUGAGGAAGCAAUGGCGGAGUUGAAUCAACUGAAACCGACAAUCCCGAUUGACGAGUAUAUGGCAGGGAGCUUAGCUACCAUUGAUGACAGAGUUAGGAGGGUGUUCAUGUGCUACCAAGAAGACGAAAAAAUAGAAUGGCUUCAUCGUCGUACUCGCUCUUGAAUGAGCUCGAGAUCCCUCUUUAUGUUCAUUGAUACUGUUGCGAUAAUCUCAUUUCUUUCUCUUAAUUAUGACAUUUAUUGAACUGAUAUGUUUGUUAUAUGUGUUUGGAUAUUUCAACUUGAAUAAGUUAUGUUUAUUA